CAGUUAAAUUUGAAUUUAAGUAAAAAAUGAGUAAUUUUUUAGUAUAGGUGUGUCUCAUUCAAUAAUUGAGACAUAAUUAUACUAAAAAUAUACACAUUAUUUAUAUAUAUAUAUAUGCA
rnacentral:miRNA from 1 species